rnacentral:rRNA from 1 species
CCUACGGGAGGCAGCAGUGGGGAAUAUUGGGCAAUGGGCGCAAGCCUGACCCAGCAACGCCGCGUGAAGGAAGAAGGCUUUCGGGUUGUAAACUACUUUUAUCAGGGACGAAGCAAGUGACGGUACUUGAUGAAUACGCCACGGCUAACUACGGGCCAGCAGCCGCGGUAAUACGUAGGUGGCAAGCGUUAUCCGGAUUUACUGGGUGUAAAGGGUGUGUAGGCGGGAGUGCAAGUCAGAUGUGAAAACUAUGGGCUCAACCCAUGGCCUGCAUGUGAAACUGUACUUCUUGAGUGCUGGAGAGGCAAUCGGAAGUCCGUGUGUAGCGGUGAAAUGCGUAGAUAUACGGAGGAACACCAGUGGCGAAGGCGGAUUGCUGGACAGUAACUGACGCUGAGGCGCGAAAGCGUGGGGAGCAAACAGGAUUAGAUACCCCAGUAGUC